rnacentral:rRNA from 1 species
UACGGAGGGUGCGAGCGUUGUCCGGAAUCAUUGGGCGUAAAGGGCGCGUAGGUGGCCUGCUAAGCGUGCGGUGAAAGUCGGGGGCUCAACCCCCGAUCGGCCGUGCGAACUGGGAGGCUUGAGCACUGUAGAGGCAGGCGGAAUUCCGGGUGUAGCGGUGGAAUGCGUAGAGAUCCGGAAGAACACCGGUGGCGAAGGCGGCCUGCUGGGCAGUUUUGCUGACACUGAGGCGCGACAGCGUGGGGGAGCAAACAGG